AAUGAACGUUGGCAGCGUGGAUUAGGCAUGCAAGUCGAGCGACAAGGUCCUUCGGACUGGAGGAGCGGCAAACGGGGUAGGUAAUACAUCGGAACGUACCCUCACGUCUGGGAGUAGCCACGGGAAACUGUGGGUAAUACUGGAUAAUCUCACCGCUUGUGAAGAGUGGUGAGCAAAGGUCCGCCGCGUGAGGAGCGGCCGAUGCGAUACUAGAUAGUUGGUGGGGUAAUGGCCUACCAAGUCUAAGAUGUCUAGGGGGUGUGAGAGCAUGGCCCCCACCACUGGGACUGAGACACUGCCCAGACACCUACGGGUGGCUGCAGUCGAGAAUCUUUGGCAAUGGGCGCAAGCCUGACCCAGCCAUCCCGCGUGCAGGAUGACAGCCCUACGGGUUGUAAACUGCUUUUGUUAGGGAAGAAACCCCUCGAUUUAUCGGGGGCUGACGGUACCUUUCGAAUAAGCACCGGCUAACUCCGUGCCAGCAGCCGCGGUAAUGUCUAG
rnacentral:rRNA from 1 species